GACGAACGCUGGAGGCGUGCUUAACACAUGCAAGUCGAACGAUGAAAUGGAGCUUGCUCCAUGGAUUAGUGGCGAACGGGUGAGUAACACGUGAAUAACCUGCCCUUAAUUUUGGAAUAACCCAGGGAAACCUGGGCUAAUACCGGAUAAGUAAACCUGUGGCAUCACCUGGUUUUGGAAAGUUUUUCGAUUAAGGAUGGAUUCGCGGCCUAUCAGCUUGUUGGUGAGGUAAUGGCUCACCAAGGCGACGACGGGUAGCCGGCCUGAGAGGGUGAACGGCCACGCUGGGACUGGGACACGGCCCAGACUCCUACGGGAGGCAGCAGGGGGGAAUAUUGCGCAAUGGACGAAAGUCUGAAGCAGCGACGCCUCGUGAGGGACGAAGGUCUUCGGAUUGUAAACCUCUUUCAGCAGGGACGAAGCGAAGGUGACGGUACCUGCAGAAGAAGCACCGGCUAACUAUGUGCCAGCCGCCGCGGUAA
rnacentral:rRNA from 1 species